CCUUUCUGAAUGUAGCUCAUCUAAUCCAUGGAUUACAGACCCACAAGUUUUUCCUGAUUCGCUAUAGUCUUCAAGAAACAAAACAAAACAGCUUUGCAAAGUGUUUUAGGACUUACAGCCUUGUCUUCCAGGAUCAUACCAUUUCAUCCAGGCUGGAAGCAGACAACCAGGCUACAUGAACAAGCUAUGAAGACUCAAGUGGAUGUGUAAUGAGAGCAAACAGCACUCCUAGAAACAUUAGCCUGGUGCCGAGUGGUAUAUGCAAUUGAUCUAGUGUUGACAGGUAUAAAUGCUAAGCACUUGAAUAAAACCAAACCAAAUAAACUCUAUGAUCUUGUGACUCCUGAAUUUAGAGGUGGCAAGGGAACAGAGAGAUCACCUAACCACCACUUUGUAAAGGAAUAGAUCCAGGGAGGAAGUCAUUUGUCCAAGAUCACAGAGAAUAAGGUACAAAAACAGUCUGAAUCCUUUAAAGUAAAAUGCUUUUUUAAAAGAAGCCACCAUUCCUCAAAUCUUCUGGGGAAGGGUUAAUUCUGAAAGGUGUAAAAUGAAGGGAAAUAUUUUCA